CAUGCUUUCCUGUUUAGCAUUGCAGUAUUGCAGUGUUGCUGAAACACUACAUAAUAUCUUUUUUAUUUGUAAAGCGAUAAAGCUGGAUUUCCAUUUUUCAGAGAGGGUGUACUCCUUCAUGAUGUGCACUGUAACAUUGCUGUGUCCCAAGCAUGGUGCCCUAAAAUUGGGGGAUUGUGUAUAAAAAGGGCUGUAAUUCAUACACUGUUCACCUGAUAUGCAUGUAAAUACUUUUUUUUAUUACAAAUCUCAAAUUGUGGAGUACAGAGGCAAAUCAAUAAAUGAUGGGUCUUUGUCCCAAACAUUAUGGAGGGCACUGUAUCCCUAAUAAUAUUUAAAUGCGUUUAAUUUCAUAUUGUUUGUUCUCUGCAGGUUUCUGCCUCUGCUGCUGACGUUGAGAGGUCCUUAACUUUGCCUGACAGUCCUCGAUUGAUUGUUCUCGAACUCGCCUCCGCAGGCGAGGACCCCGUGGCGACGGAACCUCUCCAAACUUCGCUAUCCCUCACUGACCCCCUGUGACGACUUCACGGUCGCAGGAGGGCUAUGGAACUGCCAGUCUGCUACGCGGAAGGCUGACUUCAUUUCAGCCUACGCGUCCCUCUUCUCCCUACAUUUCCUUGCCCUCACUGAGACCUGGAUCACACCAGGCAACACUGCAACCCCUGCAGCCCUCUCCUCCUCCUUCUCCUUCUCUCACGCUCUCCGCCCGUCUGGCCGUGGUGGGGGCACAGGGCCCCUGGGAAGCUUCCUCGAUGAGCUCAACACCCUGCUCAGCUCCUUCCCAGAGAAUGGUGUAGAGGGGAGUCAAACUGGGACCCAGAAAAGGCUGGCAUUUGAACGGGCCUGCAGGCUGGGACUCAUCCUGUACUUCAAAGAACCCAGAGCCGUGUGAUAAAACAAUAAGUUACUUGGACUUCCUCGGGAUAAGCAGGCCAUUUGGCUCUCUGGAAUGUUGCCAUCUGGACACAUCUAAGAUAAG